rnacentral:rRNA from 1 species
CCUGCGGAGGGAUCAUUACACAAAUAUGAAGGCGGGCUGGAACCUCUCGGGGUUACAGCCUUGCUGAAUUAUUCACCCUUGUCUUUUGCGUACUUCUUGUUUCCUUGGUGGGUUCGCCCACCACUAGGACAAACAUAAACCUUUUGUAAUUGCAAUCAGCGUCAGUAACAAAUUAAUAAUUACAACUUUCAACAACGGAUCUCUUGGUUCUGGCAUCGAUGAAGAACGCAGCGAAAUGCGAUAAGUAGUGUGAAUUGCAGAAUUCAGUGAAUCAUCGAAUCUUUGAACGCACAUUGCGCCCUUUGGUAUUCCAAAGGGCAUGCCUGUUCGAGCGUCAUUUGUACCCUCAAGCUUUGCUUGGUGUUGGGCGUCUUGUCUCUAGCUUUGCUGGAGACUCGCCUUAAAGUAAUUGGCAGCCGGCCUACUGGUUUCGGAGCGCAGCACAAGUCGCACUCUCUAUCAGCAAAGGUCUAGCAUCCAUUAAGCCUUUUUUUCAACUUUGACCUC